rnacentral:rRNA from 1 species
UACGAAGGGGGGCUAGCGUUGUUCGGAAUUACUGGGCGUAAAGCGCACGUAGGCGGAUACUUAAGUUAGGGGUGAAAUCCCAGAGCUCAACUCUGGAACUGCCUUUAAUACUGGGUAUCUCGAGUCCGAGAGAGGUGAGUGGAAUUCCUAGUGUAGAGGUGAAAUUCGUAGAUAUUAGGAAGAACACCAGUGGCGAAGGCGGCUCACUGGCCCGGUACUGACGCUGAGGUGCGAAAGCGUGGG